rnacentral:rRNA from 1 species
GACGAACGCUGGCGGCGUGCUUAACACAUGCAAGUCGGACGGUUGGCACUGGAAGGUUCGCUGGAAGGUGCUGAUAGUGGCGGACGGGUGAGUAACGCGUGAGGACAUGUCUGCAGGAGGGGGAUAACGUUUGGAAACGGACGCUAAGACCCCGUAAGCCGGGAGGUGAAAGUGGCGAAAGCCAGCCUGUGGAGUGACUCGCGUCCUAUCAGCUAGUUGGCGGGGUGAAGGCCCACCAAGGCGAUGACGGGUAGCCGACCUGAGAGGGUGGCCGGCCACACUGGAACUGAGAUACGGUCCAGACCUCCGUA